AUCGAACGCUGGCGGCAGGCCUAAUACAUGCAAGUCGAACGGUGUCUUCGGACAUAGUGGCGCACGGGUGCGUAACACGUAUGCAACCUACCUUACAUUGGGGGAUAGCCUUUCGAAAGGGAGAUUAAUACCGCAUAAGACAGUAGUCUGGCAUCAGACAGCUGUUAAAGAUUUAUCGAUGUAAGCUGGGCAUGCGUCCAAUUAGUUAGUUAGCGGGGUAACGGCUCACCAAGACUAUGAUUGGUAGGGGAACUGAGAGGUCAAUCCCCCACACGGGCACUGAGAUACGGGCCAGACUCCUACGGGAGGCAGCAGUAGGGAAUAUUGGGCAAUGGACGCAAGUCUGACCCAGCCAUGCCGCGUGCAGGAAGAAGGCGCUAUGCGUUGUAAACUGCUUUUAUACAGGAAGAAACGACUCUUGCGAGAGGCAUUGACGGUACUGUAUGAAUAAGCACCGGCUAACUCCGUGCCAGCCGCCGCCGUAAGAC
rnacentral:rRNA from 1 species